rnacentral:rRNA from 1 species
CCUACGGGCGGCAGCAGUGGGGAAUAUUGCACAAUGGGCGAAACCCUGAUGCAGCGACGCCGCGUGAAGGAAGAAGGCUUUCGGUAUGUAAACUUCUAUCAGCAGGGAAGAAAAUUACGGUACCUGACUAAUAAUCCCCGGCUAACAACGUUCCAGCAGCCGCGGUCAUACGUAGGGGGCAAGCGUUAUCCGGAUUUACUGGGUGUAAAGGGAGCGUAGGCGGUUCAGCAAGUCAGAAGUGAAAGCCCGGGGCUCAACUCCGGGAUUGCUGUUGAAACUGUUGAACUAGAUUGCAGGAGAGGUAAGUGGAAUUCCUAGUGUAGCGGUGAAAUGCGUAGAUAUUAGGAGGAACACCAGUGGCGAAGGCGGCUUACUGGACUGUAAAUGACGCUGAGGCUCGAAAGCGUGGGGAGCAAACAGGAUUAGAUACCCUGGUAGUC